UGAGGAAUAUUGGUCAAUGGACGAGAGUCUGAACCAGCCAAGUAGCGUGCAGGAUGACGGCUCUAUGGGUUGUAAACUGCUUUUGUUUGGGAAUAAUCGACAUUACGUGUAAUGUUUUGCAUGUACCAUUCGAAUAAGGACCGGCUAAUUUCGUGCCAGCAGCCGCGGUAAUACGGAAGGUCCAGGCGUUAUCCGGAUUUAUUGGGUUUAAAGGGAGUGUAGGCGGUUGGUUAAGCGUGUUGUGAAAUGUAGAUGCUCAACAUCUGACUUGCAGCGCGAACUGGCUGACUUGAGUACACACAACGUAGGCGGAAUUCAUGGUGUAGCGGUGAAAUGCUUAGAUGUCAUGAAGAACUCCGAUUGCGAAGGCAGCUUACGGAAGUGUUACUGACGCUUAAGCUCGAAGGUGCGGGUAUCGAACAGG
rnacentral:rRNA from 1 species